rnacentral:sRNA from 1 species
AAAGCAGAAUUUGCCAACACCAUUUUGUUCCUUACCGUAGACACUUUAAAGAUAUCUGUAGCAAAUUGUUGAGUU